rnacentral:lncRNA from 1 species
AAGAGUUGCUACAUUUAGCUGAAAGUUAUCAUUUGGGGUUCUAGUGAUGGGUGGUCAUUGAUGCUGUCAGGGAGGUAACUGCACAGGCCUGUGUCCCUGAGGAGCAGCACCACCGAGCCUCCAUGCACUGCCUGAUGUGUCCAAGUCAACACAGGAAUAUGCUUCAAAGAAGAAUAUGCAACCUUCAGUGCAUGGAAUUGAACAAUGACCACCCCAGAAAUAACUACUGAGACUGAAUUAUUAUGGAAAAUAGACUUCCUCCAGCAUCUUCUAAUA